rnacentral:ncRNA from 1 species
AUCAUGGCCCUUACGGCCUGGGCUACACACGUGCUACAAUGGUCGGUACAGAGGGUUGCCAAGCCGCGAGGUGGAGCUAAUCUCACAAAACCGAUCGUAGUCCGGAUCGCAGUCUGCAACUCGACUGCGUGAAGUCGGAAUCGCUAGUAAUCGCGAAUCAGAAUGUCGCGGUGAAUACGUUCCCGGGCCUUGUACACACCGCCCGUCACACCAUGGGAGUGGGUUGCACCAGAAGUAGCUAGUCUAACCUUCGGGAGGACGGUUACCACGGUGUGAUUCAUGACUGGGGUGAAGUCGUAACAAGGUAGCCGUAGGGGAACCUGCGGCUGGAUCACCUCCUUA